rnacentral:rRNA from 1 species
AUUGAACGCUGGCGGCAGGCUUAACACAUGCAAGUCGAGCGGAGAGAGGUAGCUUGCUACUGAUCUUAGCGGCGGACGGGUGAGUAAUGCUUAGGAAUCUGCCUAUUAGUGGGGGACAACAUUUCGAAAGGAAUGCUAAUACCGCAUACGUCCUACGGGAGAAAGCAGGGGAUCUUCGGACCUUGCGCUAAUAGAUGAGCCUAAGUCGGAUUAGCUAGUUGGUGGGGUAAAGGCCUACCAAGGCGACGAUCUGUAGCGGGUCUGAGAGGAUGAUCCGCCACCCUGGGACAGAGACACGGCCCAGACGCCUACGGGAGGCAGCAGUGGGGAAUAUUGGACAAUGGGCGCAAGCCUGAUCCAGCCAUGCCGCGUGUGUGAAGAAGGCCUUAUGGUUGUAAAGCACUUUAAGCGAGGAGGAGGCUACUUUAGAUAAUACCUAGAGAUAGUGGACGUUACUCGCAGAAUAAGCACCGGCUAACUCUGUGCCAGCAGCCGCAGUAACAC